ACGUGGAGGGACGGUCUGAAUUGUGGGAAGGAAUAAGCAAAAGAAGCUACAUCUUGUGCCUUUUCCUGGGAAGCUGCAAUGAGAAGGUUGAGGUGAAGUAAUGAGAUCCUCUCACAGCCCCUCAGCGCCCUUCAUUUGCCCCCACUCCAUGCACUGCCACUAUUCUUGUACAUUAAUUUGUAUAGGAUUGCUCCUGGAGCAGAUCCUCAGCGGCUGCACAAGGGCACUUGAUGAGGGAUGGUACCGAUGGAGGCAUGAUCAGAUCCUGAAGACCAUUGAUGAAGCCAUCAGCGCAGGAGUUGAGUGGGAGAAACGGUUCCGACCCUCAAGCAGGCCAUUGCCUUUGUCAGAGCUGGGGAGCAGCCAAUACAUCCCAAAAGAACAUCUCCAGGCAUCCUGACCUUUGCAAGACACUGGCAGCUGUUAGUGGACCUCAAAGGGCAGCCUAAGUUCCCCAACCAUAUUGCAGCCACUACCCUGUGACCAGACAUUGUCCUUGUGUCCAUGUCUACCAAGCAAGUGGGGCUGCUGGAGCGGACAGUCCCAUGGGAAGAUCACUUGGAAGAGGCCUUUGAAAGGAAGCUCUGCAAGUACGCAGGACUGGUCAGCCACUGCCAGCAGGCUGGAUGGAGAGCGAAGUGUCUUCCAGUGGAGGUUUUUUGUAGGGGAUUCACAUCCCGUUCUUCAACCAGAGUCCUUCAGCAAUUUGGGCAUCGAGGGAGAGAGGAAAAGGAGAGUCACCUGCAGUACCACCGAUGCGGCAGAGAGGGCCUCAAGGUGGCUGUGGCUCAAGAGAGGGGAACCAUGGAGUCUUGUGUAGUUAGCCAUCUGGACACAAGCUGGGGUCUAAUCUGCCCCUGCUGGGUCACCUGGAGAAGGGUGUAAGAUGUUGAAAGACCCGACACACCUGAUGAUUCCAGGAACAUCACUGAAGAUGUGUCCAGAGGCAUCAGUAGAUGCAUUUGGGAAUAUGGUCAUCCAGGUUUUCAUCUCUCUACUAAUAAACAAAUCUUGCACUGAGUCAACAGUAGAGCCUGAUUGUGUACCGCUCAUUGUAAAUGACAACUGGGUUACUGGGAACAAGCAGUCCUUCUUGAAAAAGCUUUGCACAAGUUUACAUUGGUGUAGUGAAAAUCUGAGUUUGAUUGAGGUUACAAACCCAGCUUCCUCAGGGAGAGUGUAAAGUAAAUGCUGGCAAUACUGAGAAUAUUAGGCAACAACUGCAGGGAAAAGGAUAGUUUUUGAAGUUGAUGAAGGAUCAUCAAUGCUUGUGGAAUCUCCUUAAUUGAAAUUGCUUGAACUAUUGUAUAUUAUGCACAGUUCCCAAUCUUACUAAUGUUUGCAAUUGCACCAUAGAAAGCAUCCUAUCUGGAUGCGUCACAUCUUGAUAUGGCAAUUGCUCUGUCUAGGACUACAAGAUUCUACAGAGAGCUAUGAACACAGCCCAGUCCGUCACACAGACCAAGCUGCCCUCCACUGACUCUCUAUACACUUCCCACUACCUUUGGAAAGCAGCGAAUAUAAUCAAGGACUCCUCCUACCACAGGCAUUCAUUCUUCUCCCCUAUCCCAUCAGAUAGAAGGAAUAAGAACCUGAGAGUAUAAAGCACUAGACUUACGGUCAUUUCUAUCCUACUGUUAUCAUACUUUUGAACAGAUUUGUCAUGCUCUGAAAGGUAAACUCUUGAUCCAUCUUACUGUGUUCCUUGCAGUUAAUUUGCCAAUUUACUCCGUACUUUAUCAGUAAUUGCAACACUACAUUCUACAUUCAGUUUUCUUUUCUAAGCAUGUAUAACGUGU